rnacentral:lncRNA from 1 species
UCACAAGGACUCCAGAGGAAGCAACUGACAAAACGUGUCUCCCGACGGGAGGGUGGCCCAGCUGUGAGGGCGUCUCCACCACCUCACCAUCAUCGUCAGAGCCACAGGAUUUGGGGGACAGAGGAACAUGGUAGACGACACUACAGAGACAGCCAGCAGAACCCAGAGUGUCGGAAAUUCUACAGGACAAACAAAGGACCAGGUUUCUUCAACAGAUAAACGAUGAGUGAUGUGUGUGUGUUGGGGGGGGGUGGGGGGGACGGAAGCUCUGGGCAUUCCGGAGGGACUUCAGAGUCACAGAGAGCCUUGGACUUCGUACUCAAACAAACCAACUCUGAAAAGACAGGAGACAACCAGGGAAAUUUCAACACUGCUAGCAGAUUAUCACAAAGAAUUCAAGGGUCGUGUUUUAGGUGUGAUAACGGUAGCACAGUUAUUUUUUUUGGAAGAGUCCCUAUUCUGUACAGCCACGCACUGAGGCAAGAGCACAAGGAAACAAGCAGAAGGAAUUCAGAGAAACAGCUCCAGGCUCCAGCUCAAAGGCCGACACCAAAAGCGAACACCUCUGGGCGCUCUUGCCUUCAAGAAGGUGGGGAGGCUCACAGACGCAGCAUCCACCCCUCGCAGGGAACCUCAGUUCCUGGCCUGUGGUCCCAUGAAGGACAUCAGGCUGGCAGAUUGGAGCACACCCCUUCUUUCUAACCCCUCUUGAAAGCUUCCUUGAAUCUGCCAGUCCUGCCCCCUGGAGCAGGAAGGAAAACAGAAGGCCUAGGACGCUAGAGGGGUCCCGAGCUUUCCGGAGCUCCAGCCACCAUCAGGUCUGACUGCUCAGGGACAGACACACCGACCACAUCCUGACCUCAGGAUGACCUGCGGAAGUACUUGGCAUUUCUUCUUAGCCAAAUCCCUUCAUUAAAAGACGGGUGAGGGUUCCAGCGCUGCCCUCUUCCUUCUCAAAACUCUUAUUUCAGGGCUGAAGCCCAGACGUCCAGCCCGUCAGAAAUCCCCUUAGCCUGAGCUUGGCACCCAGAAGCUAGAGAGUAAAUGCACAGGGGCCGGGGUCUGAGCCCUUCCGCAAGGAUGGGGAUGGGGGCCACAAUCCACACACACCACACCACAAACCACACACCACACACCCACACACCACACACACCACACCACAAACCACACACCACACACCCACACACCACACACACCACACCACAAACCACACACCACACAUUACACAGCACACCACACACACACACCACACACACCACACACCACAUACACACCACACACCACACACACACCAAACACACCACACACACCACACACCACACACACGCACCACACACCACACACACCACACACCACACACACACACCACACACACCACACUUACACCACACACACACCACACACACCACACCCACACACACCACACACACCACAAACCAUACACACAGCACACACCACACCACACACAACCAUACCACACACACCAUACCACAAACCACACACAACACACCACAUACCACACACCACAAACCACACACACCACAAACCACACACACCACACACACCACCCACACCACACACCNNNNNNNNNNCUACACAUCACACACCUCACACUACAUACCUCAUACACACCACACACCACACACCCCACAUACCUCCCACACACACCAUACACACACACUAGAUCUCAAACAUAACAUACACCACAUACCUCACACCCCCCCGACACUAUACAGCUCACAUAUACACAACACACACCUACCUUACACACAUGCCACACACUCCACAUCCCUUACACACAAUCAGUAUAUAUCACACAUACACAAUACAUUCCUCACACCCCACAUACCUCACACAACCACAUACACUACACACACAUCGCACACUACCUCACACACAUACUGUAUACCUCACACAUACAUUUCACACACACCACACACCUCACACACAGUGCACACACACCACACCCCUCACACGUUUCCUUGCAGAGCCGUAUUGUGUGUGUGUGUGGUGUGUUCAUGUGUGUACUUGUGUGUAUAUGGGGUGUGUGGUAUGUUCGUGUGUGUACUUGUGUGUAUAUGGGGUGUGUGGUGUGUAUAUGUGUGUGGGGUAUGUGUGUGUGUGGUGUGUGCGUGUCCUGCUCAUGCAGAGUGUCCGCAACCACUUCUCGCCUCC